CGGGACGGGUGAGUAACGCGUGGAUAACCUGCCUCACACUGGGGGAUAACAGUUAGAAACGACUGCUAAUACCGCAUGAGCGCACAGUACCGCAUGGUACGGUGUGAAAAACUCCGGUGGUGUGAGAUGGAUCCGCGUCUGAUUAGCCAGUUGGCGGGGUAACGGCCCACCAAAGCGACGAUCAGUAGCCGACCUGAGAGGGUGACCGGCCACAUUGGGACUGAGACACGGCCCAA
rnacentral:rRNA from 1 species